AUUGAACGCUGGCGGCAGGCCUAACACAUGCAAGUCGAGCGGAUGAAGGGAGCUUGCUCCUGGAUUCAGCGGCGGACGGGUGAGUAAUGCCUAGGAAUCUGCCUGGUAGUGGGGGAUAACGUCCGGAAACGGGCGCUAAUACCGCAUACGUCCUGAGGGAGAAAGUGGGGGAUCUUCGGGCCUCACGCUAUCAGAUGAGCCUAGGUCGGAUUAGCUAGUUGGUGGGGUAAAGGCCUACCAAGGCGACGAUCCGUAACUGGUCUGAGAGGAUGAUCAGUCACACUGGAACUGAGACACGGUCCAGACUCCUACGGGAGGCAGCAGUGGGGAAUAUUGGACAAUGGGCGAAAGCCUGAUCCAGCCAUGCCGCGUGUGUGAAGAAGGUCUUCGGAUUGUAAAGCACUUUAAGUUGGGAGGAAGGGCAGUAAGUUAAUACCUUGCUGUUUUGACGUUACCAACAGAAUAAGCACCGGCUAACUUCGUA
rnacentral:rRNA from 1 species